rnacentral:lncRNA from 1 species
CAGAGGUGUUCUUUCUCAACUCAGCAGUAGCUGAGAGGCAGCUACUGCCUGGUUCAGGCUUCUGUGGGAAUCAAGUCUAGGACGCCCUGUAUUGGUUUUUGUUUGUCUUGUUUUCUGUGGUAUUAUUGUGAAUGUCAGGCUGUGGUCCUGAAUGUUGUCGAUGCUGAAGGGGAGAUGGGGGAGGCUGAAGUGGUGGCCCUGGCCCUGGGACCAGCUUUAGGGUUGGCUUUCAGGGGCUGCUGAGCUAUGUUCUGCUCCUGGGAGUGUGACCAGCAGGUUGAGGUGGCGCAGGAGACCCUGGUGGAGGUGCUGGGCCCUUAGGAGCCUCUUUUGAGCUUGGUGUAGGCAGCCAUGGUUGGAGUGGCUGGCCAUGAGCACUCUGGUAUCUGGGGCUGAAUUCGGCGUUCUGGUGAGAGACCUGGAUCCUCACUGACCCUACUAGGCAAGAAUUAGUCAGGUUGAUCUGGGAGUCUAUCUCUCACCUUCUCUGACCUUCCCUGUCUUCUUUCGUCACCAUGGCUGCUUUGCAUACUUACCUAAUGAUGCUUCAUGUUCCCCUGCAUCCCACCUGCCUGCCUCCAGUCUUUGGCAUGCCGGGUGGUCACAGGUCCUUUCUGGUCUUCCAUGCUUUCCCCUAUGCCCCCAAGACUCAACAGAAAUUCUGGUACCAUCCCAUGUCGCUUGCAGUAAGCCAGAGUGCCUCUUGUUAGUGAGAGAAAGUGAUUUCACUUUGAGACAUCAGUGGCCCAGCAUAGCCAGCUGUGAGUGCUGUGCUCACUCCCCUGCCCCAUGUAUGUUUUCGGGUGGCCCUGCCCCCAUUCCUUUCCCCCUUGUGCUGCUGGCCAUGAAUCUGUUCCAAGCUCUGGUGAGGAAGGAAUGCGCCCUCUCAGGGCUUCUCCUGCCCAAUCAGCCCACUGGUAGAGCCCUGCUCUCUGGGAACUCACCUCCUGCCCAUCACGGAAGGCUGCAAGCACUGCUGGUGCAGAGCCCCAGGCGGCAGUCUCCAAGUUCCUUAUGCCAAGGGCAGAGCAGUCCUCACUGGAGAUUACUGGCACAUGGACUUGACUCCAAGGUACACCGUGCCCCUUAGAAAGGCAGCCCACGGGACAAUUGUCAGCAAUUGUUGCAAGUUCUCUUCAUCACACAGGAAGAAUGUCCUGGAAGCAGAUGGGAGGCCCUCUCAGCUGCUUUGGUGACAUAGACACUAGGUUCAUGGAAGGCUGGCGUGAGGUUCCCUUCCAGGCAUCUGUUACAGGUUUCAGCUGCAAGUCUGUCUCCACAUGGGACCUGCUGCCACAGAUCCAUCUGAGACAGCGCCAUCUCCUGCGACCUACAGACAAAAAAGCUGCCUUCCUCCAAAAAUCUCAUCUGACUGAGGACUCCCAAGACAAGUGCUAAACCACAGAAGACAGACUUGGGACCUUCCAGCUAGAGAUGGACUCAUUUGCCAAAGCCAAAUGGCUGCUGAACUUUGGGGAAAGUUACAUGAUAGUGAGGAAAACAUAAUGUCUAUCUAGAUUAAUUAAUUGAUGUUCAAAAUGGAUGCUAUCGCCCUCAAUUUGUACUACCCAUGGAACAAAUAAUUGGUUGUACAAUCUCUUGCCUUCUCAACCCUCAACUCUCAACUCUUAACCCUUAACCCUUUUUACUACUCUGGCUUUGUUCUUACUUCUCCAGGCUAUACAUUUUUUUCUGAUACUUCCAUCCACUCUAAAUUUUCACCACUGACACAG